GCAGGUGUGGUUCAGUGGUAGAGUGCUUGCUUAGUAUGCAAGAAGCCCUGGGUUUCACCCUCAGCACUGCA
rnacentral:tRNA from 1 species